GAUGAACGCUGGCGGCGUGCCUAAUACAUGCAAGUCGAGCGAACAGAUGAGGAGCUUGCUCCUCUGACGUUAGCGGCGGACGGGUGAGUAACACGUGGAUAACCUACCUAUAAGACUGGGAUAACUUCGGGAAACCGGAGCUAAUACCGGAUAAUAUAUUGAACCGCAUGGUUCAAUAGUGAAAGACGGUUUUGCUGUCUCUUAUAGAUGGAUCCGCGCCGCAUUAGCUAGUUGGUAUGGUAACGGCUUACCAAGGCGACGAUGCGUAGCCGACCUGAGAGGGUGAUCGGCCACACUGGAACUGAGACACGGUCCAGACUCCUACGGGAGGCAGCAGUAGGGAAUCUUCCGCAAUGGGCGAAAGCCUGACGGAGCAACGCCGCGUGAGUGAUGAAGGUCUUCGGAUCGUAAAACUCUGUUAUUAGGGAAGAACAAAUGUGUAAGUAACUAUGCACGUCUUGACGGUACCUAAUCAGAAAGCCACGGCUAACUACGUG
rnacentral:rRNA from 1 species